UGACGAAGGGGCUAGCGUUGCUCGGAAUCACUGGGCGUAAAGCGCACGUAGGCGGAUCUUUAAGUCAGAGGUGAAAUCCCAAGGCUCAACCUUGGAACUGCUUUGAUACUGGGGAUCUCGAAGUCCGGAAGAGGUUGGUGGAACUGCGAGUGUAGAGGUGAAAUUCGUAGAUAUUCGCAAGAACACCAGUGGCGAAGGCGGCCAACUGGUCCGGUACUGACGCUGAGGUGGCGAAAGCGUGGGGAGCAAACAGG
rnacentral:rRNA from 1 species